rnacentral:tmRNA from 1 species
GUUCUUCCAAUUUCCAAAAUAAUCCCUAUAUUAAGUUGUGUCUGGUCGCACCAGACUAUGGCGAUAAACGCGCAUGAAAUAAACAGGCUGGACCGGGGUGCGAUUCCCCGCGGCUCCACCAUUUGUUUUCGCCUCUGCGAAAAUUAUGGGGCCGAUAUAGGAUCGACAGAUGUGUAAAGAUGUAUGCUUUCGCUCGCAUGGGUUACGUUAAAAGCCCGAUUUUAUAAAUGCAAACGAUAACUUUGCUCAGGAUUAUGCUUUGGCUGCGUAAGCAGUUACGGUUAAAUCCGCUUAAGUCCUGACGCUACGGCCUCGGGCGGGGUUUGGUGGUUUUCCUGGCAACAGAAAAAACCACU